rnacentral:rRNA from 1 species
CCUACGGGAGGCUGCAGUGGGGAAUAUUGGACAAUGGGGGGAACCCUGAUCCAGCCAUGCCGCGUGUGUGAAGAAGGCCUUUUGGUUGUAAAGCACUUUAAGCGAGGAGGAGGCUACUGGUAUUAAUACUACCGGAUAGUGGACGUUACUCGCAGAAUAAGCACCGGCUAACUCUGUGCCAGCAGCCGCGGUAAUACAGAGGGUGCGAGCGUUAAUCGGAUUUACUGGGCGUAAAGCGUGCGUAGGCGGCUUUUUAAGUCGGAUGUGAAAUCCCU